rnacentral:rRNA from 1 species
GUGUCAGCAGCCGCGGUAAUACAGAGGUCCCAAGCGUUGUUCGGAUUUACUGGGCGUAAAGGGUGCGUAGGUGGCGAGGUAAGUUCGAUGUGAAAUCUCCGAGCUCAACUCGGAAAUGGCAUUGAAUACUAUCCCGCUUGAGGGUCGGAGGGGAGACUGGAAUUCUCGGUGUAGCAGUGAAAUGCGUAGAUAUCGAGAGGAACACCAGUGGCGAAGGCGAGUCUCUGGACGACUCCUGACACUGAGGCACGAAAGCUGGGGGAGCAAACAGGAUUAGAUACCCUGGUAGUCC